AGAAGCACCGGCUAACUACGUGCCAGCNNCCGCGGUGAUACNUAGGGUGCGAGCGUUGUCCGGAUUUAUUGGGCGUAAAGGGCUCGUAGGUGGUUGAUCGCGUCGGAAGUGUAAUCUUGGGGCUUAACCCUGAGCGUGCUUUCNAUACGGGUUGACUUGAGGAANGUAGGGGAGAAUGGAAUUCCUGGUGGAGCGGUGGAAUGCNCAGAUAUCAGGAGGAACACCAGUGGNNAAGGCGGNUCUCUGGGCCUUUCCUGACNCUNANGANCGAAAGCGUGGGGAGCGAACAGGCUUANAUACCCUGGUAGUCCACGCUGUANACNGUGGGUACUA
rnacentral:rRNA from 1 species